UAGUCGACGGGUUGAGCAAGCAUCAGAUGAGACGGCACUUCCAGGUUACAUCCCAAUAGUCCAGAAAUUCAUAACCUGACUGAACUGAUGUUAUACUCCGAUUUAGGGUUUACUUGCAGCUGAAGAAGCCCCAUCUCUUUACACAAAAGCUUUCAGUCAUUCCUUCUCCAAAACCCUGCGUUUCGGUUGAUCUCCGAGUUCAAGGUUCAUGUAGGAGAUUGUAGAGAUGAUUCAUGUACAAGGAGCUUAAGGGAGCCAUUGAUCUUCUUAUGACAGUCUACAAAAAGGAAUCUAUUUCAGUUGUUGUUCCAAACUUCUAAGUGGUGGUCCUCGUGUUCGUCUAAUGGGUUCUUUCUCAGAUAUUCUUGAUUCAUGGAGUAAAUCCACCAAGGCACCAAGCCUAGAGACCCUGUUCUUGUUGCAAGUGUAGGAUUGCCAGAAUUAAGUUAUAGUGGAUACCGGCGACAUGCCUAUAUUUGGGAUGAUUAUCCUUCACUUCAAGAUAUCUUGGAUGUGUCUACUUCAUUGCCAAGCUAAUGCCUUAUUUCUUGAAGAGAUAAAGAUAGCAACAACUAUGUGGGUUGGCAUUCUGAUGAUGAAAGCUUUAUGGUUCAACCUGGGAAAUUGCAUCUAUUUCUUUUUGGUUGUGAACGUGAGUUCUUCUUGAAGAGAAAACCUAGUAAACCAUCCCAAGCAUGGAUCAAUGUUGGUGAUGAGAGGCUGCACUUGGAGAGACUGGGUCCACUUAGUCCCCAAGUGUGCUAAAGGAGAUGCAACCCGCAUUAACCUCACCUUCAGGCAUGUUAUCUGAUGGGCUGUUGGAUAAGGGGGAUAGGUAAUUCAUCGUCAAGCGUUUAUUCUAUUACUAUUUGCUUGUGGGCUCAGAAUACUUCCUUACAAAACAAAAUUUAUUGUACUUGUGUUAGAAGAGGAAGAGGAAAAGGAAAAGGAAAACAUAAUUUGCUUGAUAUGGAUGCGAGAGAAGGUUUUUAGAUAGGGAUCAAACUACCUAAAAUCCCAAAAAGAGGGAGGGAAAAAAAUCAAAGAAAAAGUACAUUAAAACCACAUGCUGGUAUAUGUUACACUGUAUAAAUGUUUUAGACGUUAUUAAAAACUCUGUAAUUUUCUUCUUUAUGGCUAGUGUUGCUACGCCUGCUUCCUUUCAACAGCCUUGUUAGAUGACAGAAAUCCAUUACUAUAUUCAACA